rnacentral:rRNA from 1 species
GAUGAACGCUGGCGGCGUGCCUAACACAUGCAAGUCGAACGAAGCUUGACGGAUGAUUUCUUCGGAAUGAAACCAGAUAUGACUUAGUGGCGGACGGGUGAGUAACACGUGAGCAACCUGCCUUUCAGAGGGGGAUAACGGCUGGAAACGGUCGCUAAUACCGCAUGAUGUGUUCGGAUGGCAUCAUCUGAACAUCAAAGAUUUAUCGCUGAAAGAUGGGCUCGCGUCUGAUUAGAUAGUUGGUGGGGUAACGGCCUACCAAGUCUACGAUCAGUAGCCGGACUGAGAGGGUGAACGGCCACAUUGGGACUGAGAUACGGCCCAGACUCCUACGGGAGGCAGCAGUGGGGAAUAUUGCACAAUGGGGGAAACCCUGAUGCAGCAACGCCGCGUGAAGGAUGACGGUUUUCGGAUUGUAAACUUCUUUUCUUAGUGACGAAGACAGUGACGGUAGCUAAGGAAUAAGCAUCGGCUAACUACGUG